GACGGAGGGUGCGAGCGUUAUUCGGAAUCAUUGGGCGUAAAGAGCGUGUAGGCGGCCGGUUAAGUCAGGUGUGAAAGCCCGGGGCUCAACCUCGGAAGUGCACUUGAAACUGGUCGGCUUGAGUUCGGGAGAGGGUAGCGGAAUUCCUGGUGUAGAGGUGAAAUUCGUAGAUAUCAGGAGGAACAUCGGUGGCGAAGGCGGCUACCUGGACCGAAACUGACGCUGAGACGCGAAAGCGUGGGGAGCAAACAGG
rnacentral:rRNA from 1 species